rnacentral:misc_RNA from 1 species
UUACAGAGGGAAGCUAAGCCGCGAGGCCAUGCCAAUCCCAGAAAAACUUUCUCAGUUCGGAUCGCAGCCUGCAACUCGACUGCGUGAAGCUGGAAUCGCUAGUAAUCGCGGAUCAGCACGCCGCGGUGAAUACGUUCCCGGGCCUUGUACACACCGCCCGUCACACCAUGGGAGCCGACAAGGGCAGAAGUCGCCGAGCUAACCUUCGGGAAGCAGGCGCCCAAGCUGUUGUUGACGACUGGGGUGAAGUCGUAACAAGGUAGCCGUAGGAGAACCUGCGGCUGGAUCACCUCCUUUCUAAGGACGCCGGAGAUGCUUUAUGCUUAUCUCCGGAUAGUCAAAGUCGAAACAGACUCUCUUCUCUUCUCUCCCUUUUCUCCUGUAAAUGCUAAGUUAUGAAUUUAGAGCAACGAAGAAAAUGAAUUCGUUACUGUGGACUCCUGAUUUCAAGAGGGGCCUGUAGCUCAGCUUAGUUAGAGCGCAUCCCUGAUAAGGAUGAGGCCGGUGGUUCAAGUCCACCCAGGCCCACCAGUUUCAGUGGGGGAUUAGCUCAGCUGGUAGAGCGCCUGCUUUGCAAGCAGGAGGUCAGCGGUUCGACCCCGCUAUCCUCCACCAAAUUAAUGAACAGUAAAAAAAGGUGGUGCAGCUUAGCAGAAGAUAAGCUUCAGCAAUUAUUUAAUAAUUUCUGAAUUUUAUUUUUUAAUUUCUUAGACAAUUAAAUCGGAGGUUUUGGAGACACAAGAUCAAAUGUGAGGGUCUCCAAGGGUUGACGAUCUUGACUGUUAAAGUCAGGUAGUAAGGGCGCAGGGCGGAUGCCUUGGCUCUGGGAAGCGAAGAAGGACGUGGCCAGCUGCGAUAAGCCUCGGGAAG